CUUGGCUUCCGGUUCAGUGACGCCGUGGUUCGGUUCGGGGAAAGUUUGCGUCCUUUUCAGUAACAUUUAGGGCAAAUUCAGCCAUUCUGUCACAUGACUUCUGGUUUUUGACCAUCUAAAAUUAAGAAUGUUCAAAAAGGCGCAAUGCAUGAAGUUGACUCCCUGUCUUCUACCCCCUUUCUGCUAAACUAACAUUUGGGGCAGAUUCAGCCAUUCUGUCACAUGACUUCUGGUUUUUGAUCGCCUAAAAUUAAGAAUGUUCAAAAAGUUGCGAUGCAUGAAGUUGACUCCCCGUCUCCUACUCCCUUUCCGCUAAAUUAACAUUUAGGGAAGAUUCAGCCAUUCUCCCAUGUGACUUCUGGUUUUUGACCAUCUAAAAUUAAGAAUGUUCAAAAAGGCGCAAUGCAUGAAGUUGACUCCUUGUCUUCUACCACCUUUCCGUUAAAC